rnacentral:rRNA from 1 species
GACGAACGCUGGCGGCGUGCUUAACACAUGCAAGUCGAGCGGUAAGGCCCUUUCGGGGGUACACGAGCGGCGAACGGGUGAGUAACACGUGGGUGAUCUACCUUCGAGUGGGGGAUAACGUUCCGAAAGGAACGCUAAUACCGCAUGACGUUCCGGGUUUGAAGACCUGGAAACCAAAGCCGGGGACCGCAAGGCCUGGCGCUACAAAGAGGAGCCCGCGUCCGAUUAGCUAGUUGGCGGGGUAACGGCCCACCAAGGCGACGANCGGUAGCCGGCCUGAGAGGGCGGACGGACACACUGGGACUGAGACACGGCCCAGACUCCUACGGGAGGCAGCAGGUGGGGAAUUUGUUCGCAAUGGGCGCAAGCCUGACGACGCAACGCCGCGUGGAGGAUGAAGGUCUUCGGAUU